rnacentral:rRNA from 1 species
CCUACGGGAGGCAGCAGUGAGGAAUAUUGGUCAAUGGACGCAAGUCUGACACAGCAACGCCGCGUGAAGGAAGAAGGCUUUCGGGUUGUAAACUUCUGUUAAGGGGGAAGAGCAGAAGACGGUACCCCUUGAAUAAGCCACGGCUAACUACGUGCCAGCAGCCGCGGUAAUACGUAGGUGGCAAGCGUUGUCCGGAUUUACUGGGUGGAAAGGGCGUGCAGCCGGAGAGACAAGUCAGAUGUGAAAUCCACGGGCUCAACCCGUGAACUGCAUUUGAAACUGUUUCCCUUGAGUGUCGGAGAGGUAAUCGGAAUUCCUAGUGUAGCGGUGAAAUGCGUAGAUAUUAGGAAGAACACCAGUGGCGAAGGCGGAUUACUGGACGAUAACUGACGGUGAGGCGCGAAAGCGUGGGGAGCAAACAGGAUUAGAUACCCCUGUAGUC